UUUAAUUUUUUUUUAAUUUUUGGGGGGUGUCCUGAGCAAUAGGGGGGUGUAUAUAGAACGGCGUACUUGAUCAAAUUUCAAAGAUCGGUAGAAAUUUUAUUUGGGCAACCGGUUCCCAAACCCCUGGUCGGCACUAUGUUGGUCCGGAUGGUGCUCAUGCCUAAGAAGGAUGGUGAUCAGGCAUGCAAUGAUGCUUGUCGUAUGUUGUAGAUGUUUUGCAGGGGAAGGAUUCCCUACGAGUCAAGUUUGUGCAUGGAAGGUAUGGAACUCUUGAUCCCUGAGGAAACCUUUCACCUUACAAAGCUUCUUGGGCAUGGUGUGCUGUUUUGCAUGCCUGCUGACAAAUUCCUGAUGGCCCACAGGAACCUUUUGGGUCCAACACUCUUCCUGUGGCACAGCAAAUACCCAAGCUUAUACUCCACAAGACAAAUGACAGCGCUAUGGAGGUUGAGAGUGGCACCACGGGUGGAGCGUAUGGAAAUUGUUAUGGAAUAGCUUGCCUACCCAACUAUGGUUGAUGGCUUGCAAUUAAAUUCUGACUCUGAACCUCCAGGUUUGGCUCCUGAAUCCACUGAGCAUUUAUUUUUUAUUUCAAUGCGGCGGAGGUACUUCAGACUUUCAGCAGCAGGUGGGGAGCCCUGGGCUGGCAACAGGCAUUUCAUGGCUGCAGGGUUUUGGCAUCGGUGUCUGGGCCCACGACGCGGAAUGGCGCUGGUGGCAACUAUUCUCUGGGGCAUAUGGAGAGCGGCGAAUUGAGCAGUUUUGACCAUGCCCUCACACCUACCACGGUCGUGGCUUGUCGGAUGUUUGUCAUGGCGCAUGAUUACAAGGACACUGUUCUCACAAAUUAUUAUUAUUAUUAUUUUUUAUUUUUUUUUGUCAAACUACAUUUCAUUUCAAAUAACUCCGAACAUGAGUGCAACUGGAUCAAAUGAAAGUAAACAGUACAGUAAGCAUGGGAUGCAAGCUAAGCUUGUUCAAAUGACCUUUCUGAAAUACUGAACAUAA